GGAGGGUGCGAGCGUUAAUCGGAAUUACUGGGCGUAAAGCGCGCGUAGGCGGCGUGAUCAGUCGGGUGUGAAAGCCCUGGGCUUAACCUGGGAAUUGCACUCGAUACUGUCAGGCUAGAGUAUGGGAGAGGGAAGUGGAAUUUCCGGUGUAGCGGUGAAAUGCGUAGAUAUCGGAAGGAACACCAGUGGCGAAGGCGACUUCCUGGCCCAAUACUGACGCUCAGGUGCGAAAGCGUGGGUAGCGAACAGGGAUUAGAUACCCUGGUAGUCCACGCCGUAAACGAUGAGAACUAGAUGUCGGGAGGAUUUACCUCUCGGUGUCGCAGCUAACGCGUUAAGUUCUCCGCCUGGGGAGUACGCCGGCAACGGUA
rnacentral:rRNA from 1 species